GGCGGACGGGUGAGUAAUGCCUAGGAAUCUGCCUGAUAGUGGGGGACAACGUUUCGAAAGGAGCGCUAAUACCGCAUACGUCCUACGGGAGAAAGCAGGGGACCUUCGGGCCUUGCGCUAUCAGAUGAGCCUAGGUCGGAUUAGCUAGUUGGUGAGGUAAUGGCUCACCAAGGCGACGAUCCGUAACUGGUCUGAGAGGAUGAUCAGUCACACUGGAACUGAGACACGGUCCAGACUCCUACGGGAGGCAGCAGUGGGGAAUAUUGGACAAUGGGCGAAAGCCUGAUCCAGCCAUGCCGCGUGUGUGAAGAAGGUCUUCGGAUUGUAAAGCACUUUAAGUUGGGAGGAAGGGUUGUAGAUUAAUACUCUGCAAUUUUGACGUUACCGACAGAAUAAGCACCGGCUAACUCUGUGCCAGCAGCCGCGGUAAUACAGAGGGUGCAAGCGUUAAUCGGAAUUACUGGGCGUAAAGCGCGCGUAGGUGGUUUGUUAAGUUGGAUGUGAAAUCCCCGGGCUCAACCUGGGAACUGCAUCCAAAACUGGCAAGCUAGAGUAUGGUAGAGGGUGGUGGAAUUUCCUGUGUAGCGGUGAAAUGCGUAGAUAUAGGAAGGAACACCAGUGGCGAAGGCGACCACCUGGACUGAUACUGACACUGAGGUGCGAAAGCGUGGGGAGCAAACAGGAUUAGAUACCCUGGUAGUCCACGCCGUANACGAUGUCAACUAGCCGUUGGGAGCCUUGAGCUCUUAGUGGCGCAGCUAACGCAUUAAGUUGACCGCCUGGGGAGUACGGCCGCAAGGUUAAAACUCAAAUGAAUUNNNGGG
rnacentral:rRNA from 1 species